rnacentral:tRNA from 1 species
GCCACCCUAGCUCAAUGGCAGAGCAGGCGCUUUGUAAGCGUCAGGUUGUGAGUUCGACUCUCACGGGUGGCUCCA